AUGGCAGGCUGCCCACAGGCCACAGCACUAACCCAGAGCCAGCACCAGGGAGCCACGGGCGGGGGCCCAAGCCAACAGAGAUGGAUGCACCAGAGAGCGAAGGAGAUCAACAUUGAGGAACGUGAUGGGCUGAGAGGCCAGAAGCCUGAGGGACCUGGUGGUCACACAGCCUCCUCUCUUGCAGCCUCCACCACAGCCCCAAAGGUCUUCCCACUGGCCCCCUGCUGUAGGGACACAUCUGAAUCCACGGUGGCCCUGGGCUGCCUGGUCUCCAGCUACAUCCCAGAGCCGGUGACCGUGUCCUGGAACUCAGGCGCCCUGACCAGCGGCGUGCACACCUUCCUGUCCGUCCUGCAGUCUUCGGGGCUCUACUCCCUCAGCAGCGUGGUGACCGUGUCUGCCAGCAGCUUGGAGAGCCAAACCUACACCUGCAACGUAGCCCACCCGGCCAGCAGCACCAAGGUGGACAAGAGAAUCGUCGUAAAAGACCUGAAGCCCUGCUGCAAUUGUUUACCAUGCCAAGCAGUGCCGAGGGUCUUCAUCAUCCCCCCAAAACCCAAGGACGUCCUCAUGAUCUCCCACACGCCCGAGGUCACCUGCCUGGUGGUGGACGUGAGCCGAGAAAACCCCAAUGUCCAGUUCAACUGGUACGUGGACGGCACGGAGGUGAGCACGGCCACAACGAAGCCAAACGAGAAUCAGCCAAAUGGCACCCAGCGGGUGGUCAGCAUCCUCCCCAUCCAGCACAAGGACUGGCUGAGUGGAAAGAAGUUCCAGUGUAAGGUCAGCAACAAUGCCCUCCCGGCCUCCAUUGAGAAAAUCAUCUUCAAGGACGAAGGGCCAGCCCGGGAGCCGCAGGUGUACGUGUUGAACCCACACCAGGAGGAGCUGGCCAAGAGCACGGUCAGCGUCACCUGCCUGGUCAAAGACUUCUACCCAUCUGAGGUCAAUGUCGAGUGGCAGAGCAACGGGGAGUCAGAGCCGGAGGGCAAGUACAGAACCACCCCACCCCAGCUGGACAGUGACGGAUCCUACUUCCUGUACAGCAAGCUCUCGGUGGAGACGAGCAGGUGGAAGCAGGGAGUCAAGUUCACAUGUGCGGUGAUGCACGAGGCUCUCCACAAUCACUACACGGAGAAAUUCACCUCCCAGUCUCCGGAGAUGGUCCUGGACGAGAGCUGUGUCGAGACUCAGGACGGGGAGCUGGACGGGCUGUGGACCACCAUCUCCAUCUUCAUCACGCUCUUCCUGCUCAGCGUGUGCUACAGCGCCACCGUCACCCUCUUCAAGGUGAAGUGGAUCUUCUCCUCGGUGGUGGAGCUGAAGGAGACGAUGGUCCCCGACUACAGGAAUACCAUCGGGCAGGGGGCCUAGGGCCACUCCUCCGGUGUGAGCGUCCCGGGCUGGUCCAGACCCCAGACAAGAUCUGGGUCCUUCAGUUCAUUACGCUCAGCCUGCCACCCAGACCUGCUCUAUUGCCUCUCGACCUCGCCACACGCUGAUCUCACUGCCCCAUUUGGCCCGCAGCGUGCUUUCUGGCGUCAUGGUCACUGCACGCUGCCUCCUACCCCCGACUCCUGUUUGGAAAACCAAGUGGACGGCAGCUAUAAGCCUGAGUUGAGCUGAUGGACGCCAAUUGGCCCCUCCCCAGCAGCCACCAAGAAACACUUGGGCCUGAGGAAUCAGGGCCGAACAUCGCUCACCAGCACCUCCCUGGGGUCCGCGUAUGUGGUCCCCCUGGAGGAGGUGGAGCACCAAUGUGCCACGUCCGUCUGGACAGGGACGGGUCUUCAUGCAAACUGCAUCCACGCCGGGGUCAAGGACGCAGGCUUCCAGGAAGGAGACACGCGGUUUCAGAUCCUUGAGUGGGAACAUCUGCUGCCAAGGCCAGGAAGACACGAGGCCAUCAUAUACCAACAAGGAAGAGUCUGGACAUGCCCCUAACCGUCACUCGGGUUCUCUCCACCCAGGGAGACCACUCAGAGGAGGGCCUGGGCUGUGGCCACUGUGGGAUCCCCGGUGGAUGUGGGCGGCACCACCUGGGAGGGGUGGACAUCCGGCCAGGCGGGCCUCCUGGAGAGGGGCCUGCUGACCAGGUCCCCAAGUGGAUGGGAUGUGGCCUUGGUGGACAGAGGUGGAGGGACGGCAGGAGAUCAGGGCAGCAGGCACAGCCACCCAAUCCUGCAGCCGGCGGGGCCUGAGUCACGGUCCACAGGAAGUACAGUUGCUCCAUGGGGCAGAGGUGAGAGAAGAGACCCCCGAGGAGAGAGCCCAUGGCCUUGGGGAGCUGACCAAGUGGACCAAUUUCAGACCCCUGGCCUCACAACCCCUGGACCAAAUCACCCCUCAGGUGCUGAAGGAACUCCUAGUCGCCCUCUCCAGAUGCGAAGGACAGGGAUGCACACGGGAAGGACAGGCAGACCCCUGUCCCAACUACUGGGGGACAAAUCGCAGAAAGGUUGCUCAAAGAAAAGGCCAUAGUUGUAGCUUGCGUAGCUUUCUUCCUUCUUUUUAACUUUCUAGAGCCCACUGAUUUUCUUUACCAUUUCUUUUCUUAAAACAACAA